UUUAUUGGAGAGUUUGAUCCUGGCUCAGGAUGAACGCUGGCGGCGUGCCUAAUACAUGCAAGUCGAGCGGAUGGAUUAAGAGCUUGCUCUUAUGAAGUUAGCGGCGGAC
rnacentral:rRNA from 1 species